CUUCACAACUGAACAUCGCACAGGCCUUUAGAUUAGACUGACCACAAAAAAGACAUUGAUGUCAUAAAAUUUCUAGGAGUAGUUCGUCGCAGCGUAAAAUAUGUCACUUCCUGUUGCCAAUAGGUGGCGCUAUGACUAUAACUGAAUAUGGGCAUGUCAAUCUGUUCAGGUUCGGAGUCUCAUCAAACAUGUGAAGUUUGGGGCAGAUUGGACAUUGUAUGUGUGAGUUAUAGCAACUUCAUUUUUCAUGGCGAAUCAUCGAAAUUCGCCAGGCUGCCACGGACACGCCCUUCAACGAAAACUCAAGAUCUUCGCAAUUUAACAUCGCAAAGGCCUUUAGAUUAGGCAUACCAAAUUUGGUGUUGAUUUGAAGUACUCUCUAGGAGGAGUUCGUUAAAAUACAACACAUGGAAAUGACCAAAAUUACACAAAAUAUGCUCAUAAUAUUAAAAAUAACCGACUUCCUGUUGGGUUUAAAAUUUCGCUCCAAGAGUCUUUUUUGUAGGUAUUGGUGUGUUACAUAUGUGUGCCAAUUUUCGUGCAUGUACGUGAAACAUAGCUGGAAGGCUGUUGAUUUUCUUGGUAUAGGUGGCGCUGUCGAGCCAUUUUGCCACACCCUCUUCUGAAUCCUAUAUCAGACGAAAAUUUUCACCAGGUUUGACGCGUGUGCAAAGUUUCAUGACUUUUUGAGCAUGUUAAAGCCCUCAAAAAUGCGAUUCAUUCGGGAGAAGAAGAAGAAUAAUAAUAAUUAAAGCUGCAAGCAGCGAUGAACGGGCCCUCGCACCCGGGCUCACCGCAAUCGUGUGGCUUUAGUAAAAAGGUGAAGGUGAGAAAUAUGCAUUUCAAAUCGUUAAUAUAAGUGGAAUAUGUCAAAGUCACUUAUAUGUGCCAAUUUUCCUGUUGCCAAUAGGUGGCGCUAUCAUUAUAAUGGAAUAUUGGCCUUCAGAUGUGUUCAGGCUAGGAGUCUUAUCGAACAUGUGAAGUUUGGGCAAGAUCUGAUGUUUUAUGCCUGAGUUACAACAACUUCUACUCCUAUGGCGAGACAUCAAACUUUGUCACGGCGCCAUGGACACGCCCUUUAACGAAAACUCAAGAUCUUCACAGUUUAACAUUGCACAGGCCUUUAGAUUAGACUGACCACAAAAAAGACAUUGAUGUCAUAAAAUUUCUAGGAGUAGUUCUUCGGAGCAUAAAAUAUGACACUUCCUGUUGCCAAUAGGUGGCGCUAUGAUUAUAACUGAAUAUGGGCAUGUCAAUCUGUUCAGUUCUAGAGUCUUAUCAACCAUGUCAAGUUUGGGGCAGAUUGGACAUUGUAUGUCUGAGUUAUAGCAACUUCAUUUUUCAUGGCGAAUCAUCGAAAUUCGCCAGGCCGCCACUGACACGCCCUUCGACGAAAACUCAAAAUCUUCGCAAUUUAACAUCGCAAAGGCCUUUAGAUUAGGCAUACCAAAUUUGGUGUUGAUCUGAAUAAGUCUCUAGGAGGAGUUCGUUAAAAUAC